GAUGAACGCUGGCGGCGUGCCUAAUACAUGCAAGUCGAGCGAACAAACGAGGAGCUUGCUCCUCUGACGUUAGCGGCGGACGGGUGAGUAACACGUGGAUAACCUACCUAUAAGACUGGGAUAACUUCGGGAAACCGGAGCUAAUACCGGAUAAUAUAUUGAACCGCAUGGUUCAAUAGUGAAAGACGGUUUUGCUGUCACUUAUAGAUGGAUCCGCGCCGCAUUAGCUAGUUGGUAAGGUAACGGCUUACCAAGGCAACGAUGCGUAGCCGACCUGAGAGGGUGAUCGGCCACACUGGAACUGAGACACGGUCCAGACUCCUACGGGAGGCAGCAGUAGGGAAUCUUCCGCAAUGGGCGAAAGCCUGACGGAGCAACGCCGCGUGAGUGAUGAAGGUCUUCGGAUCGUAAAACUCUGUUAUUAGGGAAGAACAAAUGUGUAAGUAACUAUGCACGUCUUGACGGUACCUAAUCAGAAAGCCACGGCUAACUACGUG
rnacentral:rRNA from 1 species